rnacentral:rRNA from 1 species
GAUGAACGCUAGCGACAGGCCUAACACAUGCAAGUCGAGGGGCAGCACAUGAGUAGCAAUACGAUGGUGGCGACCGGUGCACGGGGGAGUAACACGUAUGCAACCUGCCUGUAAGAGGGGAAUAACCCGGAGAAAUUCGGACUAAUACCGCAUAAUACCACGAGACUGCAUGGGUUUGUGGGUAAACAUUUAUGGCUUAAAGAUGGGCAUUCUUAUGAUUGGAUAGUUGGUAGGGUAACGUCUUACAAAGUCUACGAUAAUUAGGGGUUCUGAGAGGAAGGUCCCCCACACUGGUAAUGAGACACGGACCAGACUCCUACGGGAGGCAGCAGUGAGGAAUAUUGGUCAAUGGGCGAGAGCCUGAACCAGCCAAGUCGCGUGAAGGAAGAAGGUUCUAUGGAUUGUAAACUUCUUUUGCAGGGGAAUAAAGGACGGUACGUGUACUGUUUUGUAUGUACCUUGCGAAUAAGGAUCGGCUAACUACGUGCCAGCAGCCGCCGUAAAAC